AACGCGAAGAACCUUACCAGCCCUUGACAUCCCGGUCGCGGACUCCAGAGACGGAGUCCUUCAGUUCGGCUGGACCGGAGACAGGUGCUGCAUGGUUGUCGUCAGCUCGUGUCGUGAGAUGUUGGGUUAAGUCCCGCAACGAGCGCAUCCCUUAAGCUUAGUUGCCAUCAUUAAGUUGGGCACUCUAAGUUGACUGCCGGUGACAAACCGGAGGAAGGUGGGGAUGACGUCAAAUCAUCAUGCCCCUUAUGAUUUGGGCUACACACGUGCUACAAUGGACAAUACAAAGGGCAGCUAAACCGCGAGGUCAUGCAAAUCCCAUAAAGUUGUUCUCAGUUCGGAUUGUAGUCUGCAACUCGACUACAUGAAGCUGGAAUCGCUAGUAAUCGUAGAUCAGCAUGCUACGGUGAAUACGUUCCCGGGCCUUGUACACACCG
rnacentral:rRNA from 1 species